rfam:Bombyx mori DNA, contig: Bm_scaf1_contig665, strain: p50T/Dazao, build 2, whole genome shotgun sequence.
UUAACUCAAAUUUGUAUGGAGUUGGAACAUUUUCUUAUGUUUGCCACUAGGGGCGCUGUUCCAACGUGCAUACGAAUUUGAGUUG